rnacentral:rRNA from 1 species
UACGAGGGGGGCGAGCGUUGUUCGGAAUUAUUGGGCGUAAAGGGUGCGUAGGCGGUUUGGUAAGUCUUGUGUGAAAUCUCCAGGCUCAACUUGGAGUCUGCACGAGAAACUGCCGGGCUUGAGUGUGGGAGAGGUGAGUGGAAUUCCUGGUGUAGCGGUGAAAUGCGCAGAUAUCCGGAGGAACACCGAUGGCGAAGGCAACCGCCUGGGCCUGUACUGACGCUGAGACACGAAAAGCGUGGGGAGCAAACAGG